AAGCGAGUCGUUAGACUGCUACCAAUGUACCAACGAAAAGACUAACAUACACUGUAUAGAUGACUAUAAUGUCCAAAGCUGUGGUAGAGGAAUGGACACCUGUCAAACAAUUACGUCGUACUCAGAUGUAUCAGAGAGGCUUUCCAUAUUGAAGUCUUGUACAACAAAUGUGUCCUGCCAUCUUCAGAAACAGGAAUACUACAGAUCCUGUAACCUGGUCAGCCCUGGAUGGGUGUGUGUUUAUUGUUGUCACCAUGACAAAUGCAAUAUACACGCUGCUUCCGGGACAGUAUCAUCGCUGAGCACCAAGUCGUUACUAAGACAGAUAUUGGAUUAUAUUUUACUUUGCCUGAUAAUUUCUGUGAACAAGAACAUUUUUGUAUUGAUGUUAUAGCUGGAAAGCAAUUAAGUUUCAGACACGUCUUCCAAUGCCAUAAAUUCUGCAGAACUAGAACAGAAAAAUGGAUAGACUCGUUUGGCCACCGUUCGUUUAGGAUUUGGAUUUGUGUUUUCUCUUAUAGCACCAUUAGUGGCUUACUCACUUGAUGCUGGCAAUCGAAGAGACUUAGGAAAAAGAGCAGUGCCACGCUGGUUACUUUUCAUGAAUCUAUAUUUUUAAAGUUUAUGAUACGCAUCACAAAAAAUACUCACACGUUUAUUUCAUGGCUAAAGGAGUGGUUAUCCUGUGCUCUUAAAUUUCUCAUUAAUAAAACUUCCUGACAUUGAUUUUCAUCAAGUACUUUAGUAUUAGAUCCAAAUGGAAAAUUGUGUGAGACACGAAGUGCUGCUUAUUUUUAAUGUCGGAGCUUGAUAUGAAGAAAUUUUUAAACAAAGAAUGCAUGGGAAAUACAUUGAUUUAUUAUCACAAUAUUAAAAACACUUUGGAGUGUAUUUGAAACUUA